ACCGCGUGGAGGGCCGGACCACCAUAGUUGAAAAUAUGGGGGAGUGAGCUGUGGAUGGGGGUGAAAGGCCAAUCAAACUCGGAGAUAGCUGGUUCUCCCCGAACAUAUUUAGGUAUGGCCUUAGGUCAUGCGUCGCGGGGGUAAAGCACUGGAUGGGCUAGGGGUCACACCAGAUUACCAAACCCAACCAAACUCUGAAUACCGACGACGUCCUAUCCUAGGAGUCAGCCUGAGGGUGAUAACGUCCUCAGACAAAAGGGAAAAGAACCCUGACCGACAGCUAAGGUCCCCAAGUUAUGGCUAAGUGGUGAAGGAUGUGGGAGCACAUUGACAACCAGGAGGUUGGCUUAGAAGCAGCCAUCCUUAAAAAGAAAGCGUAAUAGCUCACUGGUCAAGUGAACCUGCGCCGAAAAUAUAACGGGGGC
rnacentral:rRNA from 1 species